UCUGGGUUGGAGUCACACGUU
rnacentral:piRNA from 1 species